CUCAAGGAACCGAUCAAAAUCCUCUUGUGUGGCACAUCUUCUACUUGGCAACUGAAAAAUCAAAGGAGAAACCGAGUCUUGCCCUGGAAAAGGACUGAGUGGCUCAGUUAUCACGUUUGCCAACUGGAAUUUCCGGUGUGAUUGUUGCGGCCAGAAUCUUGACGGGUUUGUAAGAUUUCCAGGAAAACCAGGUGUCCAAGGUGAGGAUGAAGAGAACCGUGCAAGCCUGAAGGAUUCGGAGAAAUGGGCAAGACAGGGGAGCCGGGCACGAAGAGUCCCUCCAUCAGGCUUUAACCGUUGCUACGUAAAUUCAUGACGCUGGUGGAGAUCAGCUGGACAAGAGCUACAGAUCUGCAUUUCAGCUCCAUUCAUUUGAUAGAAAUGCCUCAAAAGCAGGAAGAGAUUUGGUGCUCAAGGUCAAGAGUCAAAAAGAGAAGAAGCCAAAGUUAAUGUUGAACCGAUAGGGGAUAGCAUCUGAUUAAUUGUUUACUCUGAUUCCGAGAGUAAAAUGGAAAAUUAAACGAAGUACAAUUCUGACGCCUUUCACGUUGGGAGGACACCGGGCAAAGCCGAGUAAAACAUAAUGUGGCUGAAAACAAGAAGGUGGAAAGCUACACAAAUAUAUGGAGUUCUAUGUCAAGGAAAAAAAAAGAUGAGAGGGUGCUAAAUUGCGUGGUGCAUGCCAUUUUUAUGUUAAGAGUUUUAACCGAAUCACUAUUAUCCCCCAGCGAAAGCCAUUGAGAUUUAAUUGUAUCAAUCGCGGUGACGGUGAUUUACCUUUCAAAAUCAAUCUGAGAAUAAAAUUACCACAAAUUUAUAAACCUGGCCUGAAACAGACAACCAGCUCAUUGAGAAAUAUACAUUUUAUGGGAGAAGACAUAUCUAGGUUCUGUACUUGGAUAGUGGCAUACAGGUA